rnacentral:rRNA from 1 species
ACGGCAGCACGGGAGCAAUCCUGGUGGCGAGUGGCGAACGGGUGAGUAAUAUAUCGGAACGUGCCCAGUAGUGGGGGAUAGCCCGGCGAAAGCCGGAUUAAUACCGCAUACGACCUGAGGGUGAAAGCAGGGGAUCGCAAGACCUCGCGCUAUUGGAGCGGCCGAUAUCAGAUUAGCUAGUUGGUGGGGUAAAGGCCUACCAAGGCUACGAUCUGUAGUUGGUCUGAGAGGACGACCAGCCACACUGGGACUGAGACACGGCCCAGACUCCUACGGGAGGCAGCAGUGGGGAAUUUUGGACAAUGGGCGCAAGCCUGAUCCAGCAAUGCCGCGUGCAGGAAGAAGGCCUUCGGGUUGUAAACUGCUUUUGUCAGGGAAGAAAUCUUCUGGGCUAAUACCCCGGGAGGAUGACGGUACCUGAAGAAUAAGCACCGGCUAACUACGUGCCAGCAGCCGCGGUAAUACGUAGGGUGCGAGCGUUAAUCGGAAUUACUGGGCGUAAAGCGUGCGCAGGCGGCUUUGCAAGACAGAUGUGAAAUCCCCGGGCUCAACCUGGGAACUGCAUUUGUGACUGCAAGGCUAGAGUACGGCAGAGGGGGAUGGAAUUUCGCGUGUAGCAGUGAAAUGCGUAGAUAUGCGGAGGAACACCAAUGGCGAACGCAAUCCCCUGGGCCUGUACUGACGCUCAUGCACGAAAGCGUGGGGAGCAAACAG